ensembl:snoRNA U3 Small nucleolar RNA U3
AAGACUAUACUUUCAGGGAGCAUUUUUUUACUUUGUUACUGGAAAAGUUUCCCUGAACCUGGAGAGCACCAGAAACCGUGAGGAGGAGGGGCAGUGCUCUCUCCCUAACUUAAAGCUAGCUCUUGAUUUUGCUUUGCUGCGACUGCUUUUUGCCAUUGAUGAUCGUUCUCCUCUUGCUCCUGGGGAAUAAGAGGGAGAAGAUGCAGUCCGAAUGGU